UAAUGCGUUGUCGCUAUAGCA
ensembl:piRNA 21ur-3472 ncRNA